CGAAAUGUCAAGGAAUGGCAAACCUCUCUCACCACGAUUUUUUGUUCAGAUUUACACCAACACAAACUUCAAUCUUCUAUUUGCAGCAGGAAAUGGAAGCAGGUAGAAACGAGUCAGCCAAAGUUCUGCAGCAAAUCUGGAGCUGCGUUAGGAUUGAAAGGGAAGAAAAUCCUAACUCCUUCUUAUUCAGACAGACAAAAGACAAGGAACCCAUUGAAAUGCCAUGCACCUUAAGGCAAGUCAAGGUCACUUAUUAUCCCUGACGGUUUCUUCCCUCUGGGAGUAAGCAAAGAAUUUAUCAACUCUGAGACUUUCUUUGUCUUGGGAGAAAGCGAAGCUGGGAGGAAAAAAAAAAAAAAAAAAACUAAAAAGAAAGAAUGAAGAAGAGGUGAUUUUCUGUUUCUCCAUCUGUGUGGGGCUUGAAACUCCAGAAAAAUUCUGUGACAGGCUGGGAAAGAAGUGAGAAUGUUCCUAGGGCCACACCUUUGUAAUCUGCAGUGCAUGCUGCCCUCUCCUACUCCCAGAUAACAGUAAUUGGUUUCAGUUCCUGUAGGUUUUCCGUGUCUUCAGUUAAUAUGCUAAUGAAGGAAUACCUCUUGUUUCAUGUGCUUUUUGGAGAUGUCUCCUCAUUUAGCUUGAUUUUCAAAUAGACUUAAAGCAGAGAAAAUGUGUGUGUGUGUGUAUUCUUGUUAAUAGCAGCAGAUGCAAAUGUACUUCCAAAGUCAAAAUACGUUUAUUUUAAGCUUACUUAUUAAAUGACUAAGUUUCCAAGUUAGAAGAGGUGACUGAUGUAGUUCUGUGGAUGAAUGUGUAACUGUAGCACCUCUUGGGAAGUGCUCUUUCUUUUUUUCAGAGCUCUUUCUCCUGAUGUUGAAAAAGAAAUACAAGUAGGGCAUAAUGAGAUCCCCAGUGCUUAAA